rnacentral:rRNA from 1 species
UACGUAGGGACCAAGCGUUGUCCGGAAUCAUUGGGCGUAAAGAGCGUGUAGGCGGCUUGUUAAGUCUUGCGUGAAAUCUCGGGGCUCAACCCCGAGCGGUCGUGAGAAACUGGCAGGCUAGAGUGCGGGAGAGGAGAGUGGAAUUCCUGGUGUAGCGGUGAAAUGCGCAGAUAUCAGGAAGAACACCCGUGGCGAAGGCGGCUCUCUGGAACGCAACUGACGCUGAGACGCAAAAGCGUGGGGAGCAAACAGG